rnacentral:rRNA from 1 species
UGGUGGAGUGAUUUGUCUGGUUAAUUCCGUUAACGAACGAGACCUCGACCUGCUAAAUAGUUCGCCGAACCUUUUGGUUCGUGUGUGGCUUCUUAGAGGGACUAUCGGUGUGUAGCCGGUGGAAGUUCGAGGCAAUAACA